rnacentral:lncRNA from 10 species
CAGGCUGGUCUCAAACUCCUGGGCUAAAGUGAUCCUCGGCCUCCCAGUGUUGGGAUCAUAGGUGUGAGCCACCAUGCCUGGCCUAAGUAUUUAUUAAUUUGCUUAAAGGUAACAGUAAGCCCAUCACAUGUUAACAUAAAUAAUUUUUUUUUUUUUUGAGACAGAGUCUCACUCUAUGGCCUAGGCUGGAGUACAGUGGUACAAUCUUGGCUCACUGCAACCUCCGGCUCCCAGGUUCAAGCAAUUCUUGUGCCUCAGCCUCCCGAGUAGCUGGGAUUACAGGUGCCCGCCACCAUAUGACCUCAGGUGUUCUACCCACCAUGGCCUCCCAAAGUGCAGGGAUUACAGGCGUGAGCUACUGCUCCUGGCCAAAAUAUAUAUAUAUAUAUAUAUUUAUUUAAUUUUUUUUUUUUUGAGAUGGGGUCUUGGUCUGUUGCCCAGGCUGGAAUGCAGUGGCAUGAUCAUAGCUCACUACAGCCUCCAUCUCCCAGGCUCAAGCAGUCCUCCCACCUCAUCCUCCUGAGUAGCUGGAACUACCUGUGCCCACUGCCAUAUCUGGCUAAUUUAUUUUUAGUAGAGAUGAGGUGUUGCUAUGUUGUCCAGGCUUGGUCUCAAACUUCCUAAGCUCAAGCGAUCUUCCCACCUUGGCUUCCCAAAGUGCUGGGAUAACAGGCAUGAGCCACUGUGCCUGGCUGAUAAAAUAUUUUUAAGGAAAAGUAAUUAUUUUUCCAAACAAAAUUUCUUGAGAAGAGUAGCAUUGUUUUUAAUUUUCAUAAAUCUUUUGAAUGUCUGGCAUAAUAGAAGACUGUGAAAUACUCAUAUCUGCUUUUGCAUUCAGUCUGUUUCAAUGUUAUUUUGGUUGAAGAAUAUGAAGAAAAUUCAGCCUCCCACAGAUGUGUAUUUGGAAAAAGGGAGAAAUAUAUUCAUAACUUUUUCAGAUAAUUGUGGAUAUUCUUUGAUGCUAUCAAAACUCUGCUAAAGGUUAGUUGCAAUGUGGAACCUCAAAGUAUAUUAGUGAACUUUUUAUAUUCCAUUAAUAUUUAUUGGUUUAUUUUGCACUUUUUUUUUUUCUUUUUAGGGAUGGGGGUCUCGCUAUAUUGCCCAGGCUAGUCUCGAACUCCUGGGCUCAAGUGAUCCACCUGCCUCAGCCUUUCAAAGUGCCAGGAUUACAGGCGUGAGCCACUGCACCUGGCCUUAUUUUGCACUUUGAAUGGAUCUUUUACUAAUGUGUGAUUUUGUAGUGUCAUGCAUUGGUCAUUUGGAAAACACUGCACAUCUCCUAAAUGUUGACACAUUAUACAGUAUCAAAAAAUCAUAUUUAUUUAUUUUUAUUUUUAUUUUAUUUUAUUUUAUUUUUUGAGAUGGAGUCUCGUUCUGUCGCCCAGGCUGGAGUGCAGUGGCACCAUCUCGGCUCACUGCAAGCUCCGCCUCCCAGGUUCAAGCAAUUCUCCUGCCUCAGCCUCCCGGGUAGCUGGGACUAAGGCACAUGCCGCCAUACCCAGCUAAUUUUUUUUGUAUUUUGAGUAGAGAUGGGGUUUCACUGUGUUGCGCAGGCUGGUCUUGAACUCCUGAGCUCAGGCAAUCCGCUCACCUCGGCCUCCCAAAGUGCCAGGAUUACAGGCAUGAGCCACCGUGCCCGGACUUAUUUUAGUUUUGUGAGACAGAGUCUUGCUCUGUUGCCCAGGCUGGAGGGCAGUGCCAUGAUCUCGGCUCACUGCAACCUCUGCCUCCCUGGUUCAAGCAAUUCUUGUGUCUCAGCCUCCUGAGUAGCUGGUAUUACAGGCAUGCGCCACCAUGCCCAGCUAAUUUUUUUAUUUUUAGUAGAGAUGGGGUUUCGCCAUGUUGGCCAGACUGGUCUCGAACUCCUGGCCUGAAAUGAUUUGCCCACCUUGACCUCCCAAAGUGUUGGGAUUACAGGCAUGAGCCACCGUGCCUGGCCCACUACCAGUCUUAUUAGAAAAAGUCAUGGGAAGCUAUCAAACUUACAUUGGGAGAUACAAGUCAGUUGUUAGAAAUUCUGUUUGACUUAAAUGCUUGAGUUUUAUCAGGCCGGGUGCGGUGGCUCACGCCUGUAAUCCUAGCACUUUGGGAAGCUGAGGCGGGCAGACUGCCUGAGCUCAGGAGUUCAAGACCAGCCUGGGCAACAUGGCGAAACCCUGUCUCUACUAAAAUACAAAAAAUUAGCUGGGCGUUAGUGGCGUGUGCCUGUGGUGCCAGCUACUCAGGAGGCUGAGGCAGGAGAAUUGCUUGAACCUGGGAGGCAGAGGUUGCAGUGAGCUGAGAUCACGCCACUCCACUCCAGCCUGGGUAACAGAGUGAGACUCCGUCUCCAAAAAUAAAAAUAAAGGCUUGAGUUUUAUCAUAACCGACAAUGCUAUCAGGCUCUACUUUAUUUUUAAGAACAUGUCUGCCAAAUAUCCAGUGAACAACUAGUCUGUUAGCUGUUCUUUCAAAUAAAAACGGUGUUCCAUGAAGAAAGCUAUUAAUUCAGCUCCAAACUCAAAUUGCAAGAG